GUUUCCAGCUCAGUUGAUUAGAGCGUGGUGCUGAUUAACGCCAAGGUUGUAGGUUUGACCCCUGCAUGGGACA